AUUCCACUGCCUGUGAGACCUCUUAUAAGUCACGGCAAUGGUAAAGAUUCUGCUCAACUGAAACUCCCAAAAUUUCAAAUUCAACAGCUCAAGAAUUCAACAAAAUUUCACAAAUCCCUCCGGCUAUGACUGCCCGGUGACGCUUAGACAGUCGAUUGCGCAGUUUUCUCCGUUUUAUUUGCUGGGUGGGUUGAGUUGCAAAGAAGGGUGGUUUAAUUGAUGUAAAAGUAAAGUAUGAACAAGAAAUCCAAUUGUUGUGCCAUUUGUGAGAAUUCAAAUCGCGCAUCUAUUUGUGCUGAUUGUAUCAAUCACAGAUUAAAUGAGUACAAUAGCUUGCUCAAAUCAUUGAAGAGUCGUCGGGAUUUGCUGUAUUCAAGGUUGAGAGAAGUUCUUGUGGCGAAGGGGAAGGCAGAUGAUCAACUAAAUUGGAGAGUGAUUCAGAAUGAGAAGCUUGCAAGUUUGAGGGAGAAGCUCCAUUGUAACAAGGAACAACUCAUUCAAGGGAAGGCUAAGAUUGAAAGGAUAUCUAAUGAUUUCAAUGUCAAAUAUGGGGUGCUUGAAUCAGCUCAGAGUGUGUUACAAGAUAUCCGAGUGGAAAAACAGGAGAAGUUCUUUCCAAACCUUAUUUACACUCAGAGUCUAGGACAUAUGGCAAUUACCUCUGAACUACUUCAUAAGCAAUCAGUAAUUGUAAAACAGAUGUGCAAAUUGUUUCCGCUACGUCGGGUGAUUAUAGAAGGGGAGAGAAAAGAUGCGUCUAAUGGUCAAUAUGAUCAAAUAUGCAAUGCACGCUUACCUAGAGGACUUGAUCCUCAUUCUGUUCCAUCAGAAGAGCUUGCUACUUCCCUGGGAUACAUGGUGCAACUUCUAAAUCUUGUUGUUGGUAACUUGGCUGCCCCUGCACUUCAUAACUCAGGCUUUGCGGGUUCUUGCUCUCGAAUAUGGCAACGAGAUUCUUAUUGGAAUGCCUAUCCUUCUUCUAGAAGCAAUGAAUAUCCCCUUUUUAUACCUCGCCAAAAUUAUUGCUCUACAAGCAGUGAAAACUCAUGGACUGAUAGAAGCUCAAGUAAUUUUGGUGUUGCCUCAAUCGAAUCAGAGAGAAGGGCCCAUCUUGAAUCUUCUCGAAGUAGCAGCUUCAAUUACUCUGCUGCAUCUCCACAUUCUGUUGAAACACACAAGGACUUGCAGAAAGGGAUUUCACUCCUUAAGAAAAGUGUAGCUUGUGUAACAGCUUAUGGUUAUAACUUGCUAGGUUUAGAUGUGCCUUCUGAAGCAUCUACUUUUGAAGCAUUUGCAAAGUUGUUGGCCACAUUAUCCUCUUCCAAGGAAAUUCGAUCUGGUUUUUCCUUGAAGAUGGCCUGUUCAAGGUCAUGUAACCAAGUUCAGAAAUUGAAUAAAUCUGUAUGGAAUGUGAAUUCUACCAUUUCAUCAACCACUUUGCUUGAGAGUGCACAUGCACUACAUCUAACGAAAAACAUAAUUGAUAAUAAACUUCCAAAUUCAGCUACCAGUUUCCUAUUUGCAACUAAGAUACCUGAUGCUGGAAAGACUGAAAGCCUGAUUGAUGGAUGGGACCUUGUGGAACAUCCCACUUUUCCUCCUCCUCCAUCACAAAUUGAAGAUAUUGAACAUUGGAUUCGAGCCAUGUUUAUUGAUGCAACAAAGAAAUAAGCUGGUUGAGAGGGAACACCAGUCAGAGAACAGCUUUUGCGAAUCACUGACUAGUGAAGUUUUUAACAUUAUGUAAAUACAGAAAAUCUAACAGGCCAACAGGCCGUAAUGCCAUGCGGAUGUUUGUGGGUGGGGUUGACAGCAAUGUUCGAUGGCCUCCUUUGGAUGACAAUGAGAAGAAGGAGAAGAUAAGAAGAAUAAAUAUUGUUUUCCAUAUAUCUCAGCAGAAGAUCCAGCUUUAGCCAGGGCAUAUCUUAUAUCUUGUGAUGAAGAAGAGUAAAUGCAUUCCUCAAUUCCCAAUACACACAUGCAUAUGCAUGCUUUCUUAUCAAGCAAAUGUUUCAUUAUGCCAAAUG